UUUCCGUAGGUGAACCUGCGGAAGGAUCUUUACAGUAGUCACCCAGGUUGCCGCAAGGCCUCCUGGGUAACCUACCACCCUUUGUUUAUUACACUUUGUUGCUUUGGCAAGCCUGCCCUCGGGCUGCUGGCUCCGGCCGGCGAGCGCUUGCCAGAGGACCUAAACUCUGUUUGUCUAUACUGUCUGAGUACUAUAUAAUAGUUAAAACUUUCAACAACGGAUCUCUUGGUUCUG
rnacentral:misc_RNA from 1 species